AACGAACGCUGGCGGCAGGCUUAACACAUGCAAGUCGAACGCCCGUAGCAAUACGGGAGUGGCGGACGGGUGAGUAACGCGUGGGAACGUGCCCUGAGGUACGGAAUAACUGCGGGAAACUGCAGCUAAUACCGUAUGAGCCCCGCAAGGGGGAAAGAUUUAUCGCCUUAGGAGCGGCCCGCGUCGGAUUAGCUAGUUGGUGGGGCAACGGCUUACCAAGGCUUCGAUCCGUAGCUGGUCUGAGGGGACGAUCAGCCACACUGGGACUGAGACACGGCCCAGACUCCUACGGGAGGCAGCAGUGGGGAAUCUUGCGCAAUGGGGGCAACCCUGACGCAGCCAUGCCGCGUGAAUGAUGAAGGCCUUAGGGUUGUAAAGUUCUUUUGCCCGUGACGAUGAUGACGGUAACGGGAGAAUAAGCUCCGGCUAACUUCGUGCCAGCCGCCGCGGUAAGAC
rnacentral:rRNA from 1 species